rnacentral:rRNA from 1 species
UACAGAGGGUGCGAGCGUUAAUCGGAAUUACUGGGCGUAAAGCGCACGUAGGCGGCUUGGUAUGUCGGGUGUGAAAUCCCCAGGCUCAACCUGGGAACUGCGUCCGAUACUGGCAGGCUUGAAUCCGGGAGAGGGAUGUGGAAUUCCAGGUGUAGCGGUGAAAUGCGUAGAUAUCUGGAGGAACACCGGCGGCGAAGGCGGCAUCCUGGACCGGUAUUGACGCUGAGGCGCGAAAGCCAGGGGAGCAAACGGG